rnacentral:rRNA from 1 species
CCAGACUCCUACGGGAGGCAGCAGUGAGGAAUAUUGGUCAAUGGUCGGGAGACUGAACCAGCCAAGCCGCGUGAGGGAUGAAGGUACAGAGUAUCGUAAACCUCUUUUGUCAGGGAACAAAGGCGGGGACGUGUCCCCGGAUGAGUGUACCUGAAGAAAAAGCAUCGGCUAACUCCGUGCCAGCAGCCGCGGUAAUACGGAGGAUGCGGGCGUUAUCCGGAUUUAUUGGGUUUAAAGGGUGCGCAGGCGGUAGGUCAAGGGCGGAGGGAAACGCCGGGGCCCCACCCCGGCCCCGCCGUUGAAACUGGCAGUCUCGAGUUGGAGAGAAGUAUGCGGAAUGCGCGGUGUAGCGGUGAAAUGCAUAGAUAUCGCGCAGAACUCCGAUUGCGAAGGCAGCAUGCCGGCUCCACACUGACGCUGAGGCACGAAAGCGUGGGUAUCGAACAGGAUUAGAUACCCUCGUAA